rnacentral:rRNA from 1 species
AUUGAACGCUGGCGGCAGGCCUAACACAUGCAAGUCGAACGAGUGGCGGACGGGUGAGUAAUGUCUGGGAAACUGCCUGAUGGCGGGGGAUAACUACUGGAAACGGUCGCUAAUACCGCAUACCAUCAGAUGUGCCCAUAUGGGAUUAGCUAGUAGGUGGGGUAACGGCUCACCUAGGCGACGAUCCCUAGCUGGUCUGAGAGGAUGACCAGCCACACUGGGACUGAGAAACGGUCCAGACACCUACGGGAGGCAGCAGUGGGGAAUAUUGCACAAUGGGCGCAAGACUGAUGCAGCCAUGCCGCGUGUAUGAAGAAGGCCUUCGGGUUGUAAAGUACUUUCAGCCGGGAGGCGUUACCGGCAGAAGAAGCACCGGCUAACUCCGUGCCAGCAGCCGCGGUAAUAC